UACGUAGGGUGCGAGCGUUGUCCGGAAUUAUUGGGCGUAAAGAGCUCGUAGGCGGUGUGUCGCGUCGGCCGUGAAAAACCUGGGGCUCAACUCUGGGCGUGCGGUCGAUACGGGCAUCACUUGAGUUCGGCAGGGGAGACUGGAAUUCCUGGUGUAGCGGUGAAAUGCGCAGAUAUCAGGAGGAACACCGGUGGCGAAGGCGGGUCUCUGGGCCGAUACUGACGCUGAGGAGCGAAAGCAUGGGUAGCAAACAGG
rnacentral:rRNA from 1 species